CGCGGCGGCCCCGCUCCCCGGCCCCGCCGCGGCGGGAGGGGAGAAAGGGGUUCGCCGGAGGGAGGCGGCGCCGCAGGGCCGGCGGCCGUGAGGGGGAACGCCGGAGACACAAAGAACAUGGCGAGGGGAGGAGGAGCCUGCGCCCCCCUCCCCCGCCGGGAAGGGCGCUCCGGGGGCGGACAAUGCCCGGCCCGGCCCGCCCCGGCCGCGGCGGCGCCGGGGGGGGGCGGCUCGGCUCCCCUCCCAGGCCCCUGUCGCCGCCCCUGUGGCAGGGCCUGGCGGGGGGCUGGGCCCGGCCCCCGCCCCGCCGGACGGGACGGGACGGGCUGGGCUGGAGGCGGUGGUGGCGGCGGCCGGGAGCGGGCCCACCGCAAGUUUCGCCCGGAGUGGGAAAGUUGGGCCCCGGCGGGACCGGCCAGGUGAGAUUCCUGGAAAUCUGAGGAGCAGUCUUUGGCGGCCGAAGAAUGCAAUUCUCCCUGGAGGUGUGGGUAUCUUGCAUGAAGGGGACUGAAGCAGGAUCAGCUGGUAUCGAAGAAGCACAACUUGAAGACAUUCAAGAGUACUUUGGAGUGAACUGGCAGGAAGCCUUUCAAUACCCCGAUGGCAAUAACAACGGCUGUCCUCUAGAGAUGCUGAAGCUCAGCUUUAUUUUGAACUUCUUUCUUACGCCUCCCAACUUGUGCACAAAGGACUUACGAUUGGGAUUCAUAUGGUAUAAAGUACUCGUGGACGUGGGUUUUUUUUACUCCCUUUACUUGACAUCUGCAUGUUUCCAGUAAUCGGUGAUGAAGUCUGUACUGGGUCUGCUGACAUUUGGUCUGUUUUCAAGAGCUCUGAGUGACAGGUACUGUAAACAUCCUACACUCUCAGCUGUGGAAACUAAGAAAGCUGGGAGAAGGCUGUUUACUCUCCCUGCCUUGGAAAUCGUCUGGUGGACAAGGAUGGAAUAUUGUGAGCUCUGUGUUGAUUGUAUUUCUGACAACCUGUAUUUCAUACUUUAUGUUAUGGUGUCAGUAAAAAAAUAAUAGCUUUA